ACGACCUCAACUCAAGCAAGACUACCCGCUGAACUUAAUCAUAUCAGUAAGCGGAGGAAAAGAAACUAACUAUGAUUU
rnacentral:rRNA from 1 species